GUGGUGUUCUGCAAUCCGGCAACGUCUCCUUCCGGCAGCCACCAGCUAUGAUUGAGGAGGAACAGAGAGUGAAUUGUUGAUCUCCUCUCUUGAUCCGAUCCGUGAGGUGAGUUUUGUUUACUGUGAGGUUUUGGUUGUGAAUUAGGGUUCCGAUCUCUUCUCUGUUCGUUAGCAAGAACAAGAUCGAGCCCUAAUCGGGAUAUUGGAGAGGUUUUUGUGGUGAUUCCGGCCACCACAGCUGGAUUGGACUGAUUCCUCCACUAGAGUUGUGAUCAUCUCCGGUGAUAGAAGAAGCAGAGGACCUUGAUCUGGACGAGUUGCGUGACGUGGUGGUUCUGUUGAUUUCGGGAUAUAUCGAGGCG